GAACCUACGGGAGGCAGCAGUGGGGAAUAUUGCACAAUGGGUGAAACCCUGAUGCAGCGACGCCGCGUGAGUGAAGGAGUAUUUCGGUAUGUAAAGCUCUCUCAGCAGGGAAGAAAAUGACGGUACCUGACUAAGAAGCCCCGGCUAACUACGUGCCAGCAGCCGCGGUAAUACGUAGGGGGCAAGCGUUAUCCGGAUUUACUGGGUGUAAAGGGAGAGUAGGCGGCAAGGUAAGCCAGAAGUGAAAGCCCGCGGCUCAACUGCGGGAAUGCUUUUGGA
rnacentral:rRNA from 1 species